CGUUGUCGAUGACAACAGUCAAUGCUUCAGCGCAAGGAGUGCGCAGGUGAUCUGAGAGAAGUGCCCUAGGGCGAUCACAAGCCAAAGUCAUACGGAGAGAAGCGUGGUCUGAGACUGACGCUUUCGAGCGACCACAGCCAAUGCGACCUUAACCUGAAAGGACGCGCUUUAGAGCGGUAACCC
rnacentral:sRNA from 1 species